rnacentral:rRNA from 1 species
GACGAACGCUGGCGGCGUGCUUAACACAUGCAAGUCGAACGGAAAGGCCCUGCUUUUGUGGGGUGCUCGAGUGGCGAACGGGUGAGUAACACGUGAGUAACCUGCCCCUGACUUUGGGAUAACUUCAGGAAACUGGGGCUAAUACCGGAUAGGAGCUCCUGCUGCAUGGUGGGGGUUGGAAAGUUUCGGCGGUUGGGGAUGGACUCGCGGCUUAUCAGCUUGUUGGUGGGGUAGUGGCUUACCAAGGCUUUGACGGGUAGCCGGCCUGAGAGGGUGACCGGCCACAUUGGGACUGAGAUACGGCCCAGACUCCUACGGGAGGCAGCAGUGGGGAAUAUUGCACAAUGGGCGGAAGCCUGAUGCAGCAACGCCGCGUGCGGGAUGACGGCCUUCGGAUUGUAAACCGCUUUCGCCUGUGACGAAGCGUGAGUGACGGUAAUGGGUAAAGAAGCACCGGCUAACUACGUG